UACGUAGGGUGCAAGCGUUAAUCGGAAUUACUGGGCGUAAAGCGUGCGCAGGCGGUUUUGUAAGUCUGACGUGAAAUCCCCGGGCUCAACCUGGGAAUUGCGUUGGAGACUGCAAGGCUGGAGUCUGGCAGAGGGGGGGUAGAAUUCCACGUGUAGCAGUGAAAUGCGUAGAGAUGUGGAGGAACACCGAUGGCGAAGGCAGCCCCCUGGGUCAAGACUGACGCUCAUGCACGAAAGCGUGGGGAGCGAACAGG
rnacentral:rRNA from 1 species